rnacentral:tRNA from 1 species
AAUUAAAAUUUUGAUUUGUGAUAUCAAAGAUGUAAUAUAUUUUACUUUAAAUUAUUAAUUUA